ensembl:lncRNA
GCUUCAUGUGACUGUGUUCUCUUCCAGCGGCCCGCGGCAGACGGGUGCAGGUGCGCUCAGGGGCCCGCACCUGCCGGGGCUCGCCUAGGACUGUGUUUAAAAUUGAGCCAGAAAUGGACAUUGACUAUGGUAUGCUGCUGAGCUUUUAAAUGUAGUAGACUGAACAGGUCCACUACAAAAGCUUGAUCAAAUACACGCUACAAAACGUACCUAUAAAUAACUAUAAUGGUUGCACAUUCUGCUUGCAGUGGAGGCCAAUAAAGCGGUCGAAAAGACAGGAGCAAGUGUGGAGAAAAAGGAAGAGGAAAGCAUGGAUGAUGAGGACGUUGUAGAAGAGGAAGAGAGUCAAUUUUUGGAUGAUCCAAAAGAUGAAAACUACCUGCCCCAUUCACAUAGUGAGGAAGAGGACGCCAUCAGCAGUGAUGAAGACGUCCCUUUUAGAGAUGACCUGAAUGACCAGAGCUAUGAUCCCAAGUAUGAGAAGUGUGUAUUUGUGUGUUCUGAAGUUCUCGUCUCCUACACCAUCUACAUUUCUGUUGUAUUUCUGUGCAGGGAUUUUCCUAAGGCAAGGCGCAGACCCCCUACUAGACUGAAGGAGAAGAAAGACAAGGCUGCAUUGCCAGAGACUGCAACAGAGCAAGAGACAGAGAUCAAAACUGAGGGAGGGGAGAGCACAGAUGUGCAGGCCGCUGCUGAAGCUGAGGAAGGUGCCGAGCCACCCAGGAAGUGAGUCAGUGAUGAUGCUUUAUGUUUGUGAUGGAAACACAACUUGACACUCCUGCAACAAAAUGUUACUCAUUAGGUUUACAGUCUCCUUUAAACAC